rnacentral:rRNA from 1 species
UACGUAGGGACCGAGCGUUGUCCGGAUUCAUUGGGCGUAAAGAGCUCGUAGGCGGCCACUCAAGUCGAAUGUGAAACCUCGAGGCUUAACCUCGAGCCUGCAUUCGAUACUGGGCGGCUAGAGUCUGGUAGGGGGAUCUGGAAUUCCUGGUGUAGCGGUGGAAUGCGCAGAUAUCAGGAGGAACACCCGUAGCGAAGGCGGCACUCUGGGCCGAUACUGACACUGAGGAGCGAAAGCGUGGGGAGCGAACAGG